rnacentral:rRNA from 1 species
CACAUGCAAGUCGGAGGUGAAGCGGGGCUUCGGCCCCGUGGAAACUGGCGCACGGGUGAGUAACGCGUGGGAAUCUACCCCGGGGUGGGGAAUAACCGCUGGAAACGGCGGCUAAUACCGCAUACGCCUUGAGAGGGAAAGCUUUAUGCGCCCUGGGAUGAGCCCGCGUCGGAUUAGCUUGUUGGUGAGGUAACGGCUCACCAAGGCUUCGAUCCGUAGCUGGUCUGAGAGGAUGAUCAGCCACACUGGGACUGAGACACGGCCCAGACUCCUACGGGAGGCAGCAGUGGGGAAUAUUGGACAAUGGGGGCAACCCUGAUCCAGCCAUGCCGCGUGCGUGAAGAAGGCCUUAGGGUUGUAAAGCGCUUUCGGCGGGGAAGAUGAUGACGGUACCCGCAGAAGAAGCCCCGGCUAACUCCGUGCCAGCAGCCGCGGUAAUACGGAGGGGGCAAGCGCUGUUCGGAAUUACUGGGCGUAAAGGGCGCGUAGGCGGAUUAUCAAGUCAGAGGUGAAAGCCCUGGGCUCAACCUGGGAACUGCCUUUGAAACUGAUAGUCUUGAGUCCGAGAGAGGAUGGCGGAAUUCCCAGUGUAGAGGUGAAAUUCGUAGAUAUUGGGAAGAACACCAGUGGCGAAGGCGGCCAUCUGGCUCGGUACUGACGCUGAGGCGCGAAAGCGUGGGGAGCAAACAGGAUUAGAUACCUGGUAGUCC